AACUGGGGAACUUGAGUGCAGAAGAGGAGAGUGGAAUUCCACGUGUAGCGGUGAAAUGUAUAGAGAUGUGGAGGAACACCAGUGGCGAAGGCGACUCUCUGGUCUGUAACUGACGCUGAGGCGCGAAAGCGUGGGGAGCGAACAGGAUUAGAUACCCUGGUAGUCCACGCCGUAAACGAUGAGUGCUAAGUGUUAGAGGGUUUCCGCCCUUUAGUGCUGCAGCAAACGCAUUAAGCACUCCGCCUGGGGAGUACGGUCGCAAGACUGAAACUCAAAGGAAUUGACGGGGGCCCGCCCAAGCGGUGGAGCAUGUGGUUUAAUUCGAAGCAACGCGAAGAACCUUACCAGGUCUUGACAUCCUUCGCUACUUCUAGAGAUAGAAGGUUCCCCUUCGGGGGACGAAGUGACAGGUGGUGCAUGGUUGUCGUCAGCUCGUGUCGUGAGAUGUUGGGUUAAGUCCCGCAACGAGCGCCACCCUUGAUCUUAGUUGCCAGCAUUCAGUUGGGCACUCUAAGGUGACUGCCGGUGACAAACCCGAUGAAGGUGGGGAUGACGUCACAUCAUCAUGCCCCUUAUGACCUGGGCUACACACGUGCUACAAUGGAUGGUACAACGGCUGCAAGACUGCGAAGUCAAGCCAUCCCAUAAAACCAUUCUCAGUUCUGAUAGCAAGCCGCACUCUCCAGCAGGCAGCCUGAAU
rnacentral:rRNA from 1 species